AGACUGGCUGUAACAGCAUUUUCAUCUGCUUAAUAUUAACAUGAAAGUCGUGAAUGUUGGAUAAAUGAAUGAAAUGAAGCUGAAUCAGUGGAAACAAGAUGAGUUUACAAAAACUGGUGAUGAUGGGAGGAUUUCCCACAAUGCCGUUCACCUCUAUGAACAACAAACAAGGAGAAGUUCAUUUCCUGCUCAUCCCUGUUAUCCAGGGAGGUUGGUGGUCCGACAUUAUUUCACUUAAAACCACGUCCA